rnacentral:tRNA from 1 species
ACUUAAAUAGUUUAUUAUAAAAUAUUAAUUUGUGGAAUUAAAGAUAUAAAAUUUUAUUUUAGGUA